UCCGGUAUGGUGUAACGGCUAACAUUGUCGCCUUUCACGCGACGGCUCGGGGUUCGAUUCCCCGUACCGGAG